CAGUAGCCGCGGGAAUACGUAGGGUGCGAGCGUUAAUCGGAAUUACUGGGCGUAAAGCGUGCGCAGGCGGUUGUGUAAGACAGGUGUGAAAUCCCCGGGCUUAACCUGGGAACUGCGCUUGUGACUGCACAGCUAGAGUAUGGCAGAGGGGGGUGGAAUUCCACGUGUAGCAGUGAAAUGCGUAGAGAUGUGGAGGAACACCGAUGGCGAAGGCAGCCCCCUGGGCCAAUACUGACGCUCAUGCACGAAAGCGUGGGGAGCAAACAGGAUUAGAGACCCCUGUAGUCCCUGUCUCUUAUAC
rnacentral:rRNA from 1 species